GAUGAACGCUGGCGGCGUGCCUAAUACAUGCAAGUCGAGCGAAUGGAUUAAGAGCUUGCUCUUAUGAAGUUAGCGGCGGACGGGUGAGUAACACGUGGGUAACCUGCCCAUAAGACUGGGAUAACUCCGGGAAACCGGGGCUAAUACCGGAUAACAUUUUGAACCGCAUGGUUCGAAAUUGAAAGGCGGCUUCGGCUGUCACUUAUGGAUGGACCCGCGUCGCAUUAGCUAGUUGGUGAGGUAACGGCUCACCAAGGCAACGAUGCGUAGCCGACCGGAGGGGGUGAUCGGCCACAAUGGGACUGCGACACGGCCCAGACUCCUACGGGAGGCAGCAGUAGGGAAUCUUCCGCAACGGACGAAAGUCUGACGGAGCAGCGCCGCGUGAGUGAUGAAGGCUUUCGGGUCGUAAAACUCUGUUGUUAGGGAAGAACAAGUGCUAGUUGAAUAAGCUGGCACCUUGACGGUACCUAACCAGAAAGCCACGGCUAACUACGUGCCAGCCGCCGCAGUAA
rnacentral:rRNA from 1 species